AAAGUCGUAACAAGGUUUCCGUAGGUGAACCUGCGGAAGGAUCAUUAAUGGUUCCCACCCAAUUUGUUUGUGCACUGUUUUGGGCCUACUGGUUAGGUCCUCUUAUUUUUUACCUUUUUUUUAUUAUAAACUGUUGAUUUACUAAACAUAAUAGUAUACACUUACAACUUUUAGCAACGGAUCUCUAGGUUCUC
rnacentral:misc_RNA from 1 species